GUAGGUGGCAAGCGUUGUCCGGGAAUUAUUGGGGCGUAAAGCGCGCGCAGGCGGUUCUUUAAGUCUGAUGUGAAAGCCCACGGGCUCAACCGUGGAGGGUCAUUGGAAACUGGAGAACUUGAGUACAGAAGAGGAAAGCGGAAUUCCACGUGUAGCGGUGCAAUGCGUAGAGAUGUGGAGGAACACCAGUGGCGAAGGCGGCUUUCUGGUCUGUAACUGACGCUGAGGCGCGAAAGCGUGGGGAGCAAACAGGAUUAGAUACCCUGGUAGUCCACGCCGUAAACGAUGAGUGCUAAGUGUUAGGGGGUUUCCGCCCCUUAGUGCUGCAGCUAACGCAUUAAGCACUCCGCCUGGGGAGUACGGCCGCAAAGGCUG
rnacentral:rRNA from 1 species